GGGAAACUGCCUGAUGGAGGGGGAUAACUACUGGAAACGGUAGCUAAUACCGCAUAACGUCGCAAGACCAAAGAGGGGGACCUUCGGGCCUCUUGCCAUCAGAUGUGCCCAGAUGGGAUUAGCUAGUAGGUGGGGUAACGGCUCACCUAGGCGACGAUCCCUAGCUGGUCUGAGAGGAUGACCAGCCACACUGGAACUGAGACACGGUCCAGACUCCUACGGGAGGCAGCAGUGGGGAAUAUUGCACAAUGGGCGCAAGCCUGAUGCAGCCAUGCCGCGUGUAUGAAGAAGGCCUUCGGGUUGUAAAGUACUUUCAGCGGGGAGGAAGGCGAUAAGGUUAAUAACCUUGUCGAUUGACGUUACCCGCAGGAGAAGCACCGGCUAACUCCGUGCCAGCAGCCGCGGUAAUACGGAGGGUGCAAGCGUUAAUCGGAAUUACUGGGCGUAAAGCGCACGCAGGCGGUCUGUCAAGUCGGAUGUGAAAUCCCCGGGCUCAACCUGGGAACUGCAUUCGAAACUGGCAGGCUGGAGUCUUGUAGAGGGGGGUAGAAUUCCAGGU
rnacentral:rRNA from 1 species